rnacentral:snRNA from 1 species
ACAAUUAUCUGGCACUGGGAACGCCUUGACCAACAAGGAGGCUCUCCCGAACAGAAGCCUCUCAUUGCACUUCGAGAGGUUGACGUUCGCCACAUCCGCAAAUUGCGGUUACUUGGGGUGCGUUC